rnacentral:lncRNA from 1 species
CAUGACCAUGUCUCCCUUCGGUCUCUGCUGAUCUUCUCUGGUUUCUUCAAUCUCGUAUUUUUCUAAUCUGUAUUUGUAGCUCAGUAGUAGUAGACUGUAGUCUUGUUCUUCUAGACUACCAAAUCUUCUAUUCAAUUAGGUUGGAAAUUAAAAUAGAAUCAAGGAUUAAAAUUGCAUAUUCUUCACAAUGGGUAGUUUUUUUUGACUGAACACAAUGUGAUGUAUCAUGCUUGUGUAGAGAUUAAGUCUCGAUUGUAGGAAGGUUCCUGCCUGUGGUGGAGCAUGGUCUGAACAUCUAGUCAAUUUGUAUCUAACUCUUGCAAAACAAUAGGGCAAAUGAUUGGAGAUCAAACAAAUUAACUUGUAGGCUAGCAGUGCUCCAAGGAUCUGGGGUGAUUUUGAUAUGAGCAGGUACUGUUGCUGUUUAUUUAUGUACAACAAUAGGAGCAAAGCCUUGCAUGCUUUGCUUUUUUUCUCUGAAAUGCAUUAAGCUAUGUUAUCAAUCCAUUUUGUAUAUCUUUGCUUAUGAGAUUUAAUGCUUCAGAUCUAUUUUUC